CACACCAACGCUUCAACCAUACGCGUAGAAACAGCUACCAGCGUUCUACCCACCCGCUCGCCUGCUUCGGGGCCAAGAAAUAAGAGAGAGGCGGGAUAGACAUGCCAUCAAGGACAAAGGGGGAGCGGAUUCAAUAGACAGCGGGAUACCUUUCCACAUAUUUUGGAAAAUCAAUGGUAGUGAUUACGAUAUUAGAUUGGUGUAGUCACAAAACCCCCUGCAUACUCACACAAAGAGCAGGGCCGGGUGGAAGUAAAUUAUAAUUUAAACAAAUUUAACGCGCAGCGUCAGCGCUGGUAUUUUAUAUAAAGGACUCGAAGGAACGCAGUAAAAGAGAACCUAGCUCAACCAACAAUAGCCAGAUUUUUGACUGAAACGCCAAUACCAGUGUGUAGGAGAAACGGAUAAUAAUAGUGGAAUAGUUCAGGACGUGAUUUUCCAGGCUGUUCUGAUACUAAGCCAUGGUGUCUACAGUUCUUGCUGUGACACUAUCUGUCACCAUCCUCCACCUAACUACAGGUGUGAGCUUUAUGACCCCUGGCCAUGAGGCUACUCCACAGCAAGUCCUGGUCCCCAUCCAUUGGUGAGCUGAUCCAUGCAGCCCUUCUGAGUAAGGAGUACCUCGGCCAUGCCCAUUAA